CACACUCAACCAACCACUCCUUCAUUUCCCACGCAACCUUGUGCAAACUCCUCUUUAUUUCUUCUUCUUCUUUGUUUCUUUUGUAUUUCUCUCUCCAUGACUCUCGCUACUAUAAGUUUGCCAUAAAACUGAAAAGCAUCAUCUUCAAUCUUGUGGUGUUUAGAGUGUAAAUAAGGGUUCUAAGGAGCAUAACAAAGGAUCCACCAAAGACCCAUUUGAGAGCAUGGAGCUUUGGGAUCUAGCUAUAAAAGCUACUCAGAAAUGGAGCUUCCUCCACUGGAUGUUGUCUUUGUUCAUGGUCUGUGUGGGGGUCCCUUCAAAAAUUAGCAGUUAUCUGAGGACAAGUCAUCAACAAAGUCUGGCCUUGUAGAGAAGAUUGAUGAAGAGGCAAGGAAACAAGGAACAUUUUGGCCUAGGAGUGACUUUCAGCUGACUUUUCUCAUACUUGCUUGUUUGGUCUCAAAUACAAGAUUAGUAUAGUUUGGUCUCUGCUAUUAUAGAACAUUGCAUAACACUAUACAUCUCUUGAUUUAAUAAUUUAGCAUUUGACUUUAUCUGCUUCCAUUUGAAUUUGGAAGCAGAUUUCAAGUUUAAUUUCUGAUAUAUGAAUUAAGAGGUCUUUCAGUAGAUUUUUUCUUUUCUUU